rnacentral:lncRNA from 1 species
UUUCCAAUCUUCGAAGCCUAGCCAACCUCUUGGUUGUCAUGAUCAUGGGGGAUCCCCAUGGCUGUUUGGAGAUGAAGUGAUUUGGGGAAGCCCUUGUGGUCAUGCUCGCCUUGGUGAUGGAGUACUCGAGAAUCAUCACCGCCAUACUCGCUAGGAUGACGAAGUGCUAGAAGGCUAUUGUACUGUGCCUGAAAAGCAUUGUGAUGCACCCAAAAAUCAUCAUGAUGCACCCAAAAAUUAUCAUGAUGUGCCUAGAAAUCAUAGUAAUGUGCCUGGGAAUCAUCAUGACAUGCUCAGAAAUCAUCGUGACGCAUUCGAAAAACGUCAUGAUGCACCCAA